rnacentral:sRNA from 1 species
CCAUAAAAAAAGGCCCAAUGCUGAUCCUGCUUUGGGCCUAGGGGAAGGGCUCAUAGAGAGCCUGCGCUAACUGUUUGAAUUUCCGACUUUAUCCAUACCUAAAGUGUAGUCCAAGAUUCGGAAAUCGCUAGGCU